AAGAGGACCAGCGAUCCGUAGUCGGCCUCCAAGUUGACCUGAUGAAAGACCCUCAGGAAUGCCAGAAUAUUUGAAAGAAAAUUUAACAUAUCAGUUAAUUCCUUUGUUAAAUACUGUGGUAUAUAUGAAUAACAGAAAAUUAAAAUAUAACAACUGUGCAAACUCCACAACCUAUGAGUAUGCCAGCAUUUAGCCAGCAUCCAUCCCUGCGAAUCCACACAAAAGGACUGAGAAUUACAUAAGCAAAGGUCAGAAAUUCUUGAAGAUUUACCGUUAUGGAGUCAUAGUUGAAGUACAAAAUUAAAUGUAAAGAUGUGGUACAAUCUGUCCAAGAAAAGAAAAGAAAACAAAGCAUCAGAAGGAGCACACUUUGGAUAGCUUUGAUCUCAGGGGGAGUUUUGUAGACCACUUUGGACUUCUGCAGGUGGAGGACACACUGGUGCUGCUUCUGGCAAAGAAACACUAUGUAGACACUGGCCCCAAGCAUGAGACCUGAAACACAGUGUCUCUCAGGGCCAGGAGAGAGAAGAAAAUCCAGUUUGCUGUCUGAUUUUUGGUAGAAAAUUACAAUAUUUGUCAGCUUUCCUAAUUUAUGGGUAAAUAAAUUGGGUUCAUGUUGGUACCUGAGA
rnacentral:lncRNA from 1 species